GAUGAACGCUAGCGGGAGGCCUAACACAUGCAAGCCGAGCGGUAGAGUCUCUUCGGAGACUUGAGAGCGGCGCACGGGUGCGGAACACGUUUGCAACCUGCCUUUAUCUGGGGGAUAGCCUUUCGAAAGGAAGAUUAAUACCCCAUAAUAUACUGGAUGGCAUCAUCUGGUAUUGAAAACUCCGGUGGUUAGAGAUGGACACGCGCAUGAUUAGAUAGUUGGUGAGGUAACGGCUCACCAAGUCAGCGGUCUUUAGGAGGCCUGAGAGGGUGAUCGGCCAAAGGGGGAGAGAGAUACGGCAGGGAGUAGUAAGGAAUGCAGUAGUAGGGGAGAGAGCAUGAUGCAGCCAAGCCGGAUGAAGCAAGACGGCCUUAGGGAUGAUAAACUUCGUUUGUAAAAGGAUAAACGUAGGUAAGGGUAUGUAGGUGAAGGUAAUAGAUGAAUAAGCACCGGCUAACUACGUG
rnacentral:rRNA from 1 species